AACGCUAGCUACAGGCUUAACACAUGCAAGUCGAGGGGUAGCAGGGUAGCAAUACCGCUGACGACCGGCGCACGGGUGAGUAACACGUAUCCAACCUGCCAUUCACACGGGGAUAGCCUUUCGAAAGAAAGAUUAAUACCCGAUGGUAUAGCGAGAGGGCAUCCUUUUGCUAUUAAAGAAUUUCGGUGUUUGAUGGGGAUGCGUUCCAUUAGAUUGUUGGUGAGGUAACGGCUCACCAAGUCUUCGAUGGAUAGGGGUUCUGAGAGGAAGGUCCCCCACAUUGGAACUGAGACACGGUCCAAACUCCUACGGGAGGCAGCAGUGAGGAAUAUUGGUCAAUGGACGGGAGUCUGAACCAGCCAAGUAGCGUGAAGGAUGAAGGCCCUAUGGGUCGUAAACUUCUUUUAUAGGGGAAUAAAGUUCGGAACGUGUUCCGUUUUGUAUGUACCCUACGAAUAAGGAUCGGCUAACUCCGUGCCAGCAGCCGCGGUAAUACGGAGGAUCCGAGCGUUAUCCGGAUUUAUUGGGUUUAAAGGGAGCGUAGGUGGAUGUAUAAGUCAGUUGUGAAAGUUUGCGGCUCAACCGUAAAAUUGCAGUUGAUACUGGAGACCUUGAGUGCGGUAAAGGUAGGCGGAAUUCGUGGUGUAGCGGUGAAAUGCUUAGAUAUCACGAAGAACUCCGAUUG
rnacentral:rRNA from 1 species